GGAGAGAUGGCAGAGCCUGGUUGAAUGCACCACACUCGAAAUGUGGCGUCCGCUUCGGCGGACCGGGGGUUCGAAUCCCUCUCUCUCCG
rnacentral:tRNA from 1 species